UACAGAGGUCCCAAGCGUUGUUCGGAUUCAUUGGGCGUAAAGAGCGUGUGGGCGGCCAGAUAGGUCCGUUGUGAAAACUCGAGGCUCAACCUCGAGACGCCGAUGGAAACCAUUUGGCUAGAGUCCGGAAGAGGAGAGUGGAAUUCCUGGUGUAGCGGUGAAAUGCGCAGAUAUCAGGAAGAACACCCGUGGCUAAGGCGGCUCUCUAGUACGGUACUGACGCUGAGACGCGAAAGCGUGGGGAGCGAACAGG
rnacentral:rRNA from 1 species